GACGAACGCUGGCGGCGUGCUUAACACAUGCAAGUCGAACGGUAAGGCCCUUCGGGGUACACGAGUGGCGAACGGGUGAGUAACACGUGGGUGAUCUGCCCUGCACUUCGGGAUAAGCCUGGGAAACUGGGUCUAAUACCGGAUAGCACAACUGCCUGCAUGGGUGGUGGUGGAAAGCUCUUGCGGUGUGGGAUGGGCCCGCGGCCUAUCAGCUUGUUGGUGGGGUGAUGGCCUACCAAGGCGACGACGGGUAGCCGGCCUGAGGGGGUGACCGGCCACACUGGGACUGAGAUACGGCCCAGACUCCUACGGGAGGCAGCAGUGGGGAAUAUUGCACAAUGGGCGCAAGCCUGAUGCAGCGACGCCGCGUGAGGGAUGACGGCCUUCGGGUUGUAAACCUCUUUCAGCACCGACGAAGCGCAAGUGACGGUAGGUGCAGAAGAAGGACCGGCCAACUACGUGCCAGCCGCCGCAGUAA
rnacentral:rRNA from 1 species